AACGAACGCUGGCGGCAUGCCUAACACAUGCAAGUCGAACGAAGCCUUCGGGCUUAGUGGCGCACGGGUGCGUAACGCGUGGGAAUCUGCCCUUGGGUUCGGAAUAACAGUUAGAAAUGACUGCUAAUACCGGAUGAUGUCUUCGGACCAAAGAUUUAUCGCCCAGGGAUGAGCCCGCGUAGGAUUAGCUUGUUGGUGAGGUAAAGGCUCACCAAGGCGACGAUCCUUAGCUGGUCUGAGAGGAUGAUCAGCCACACUGGGACUGAGACACGGCCCAGACUCCUACGGGAGGCAGCAGUGGGGAAUAUUGGACAAUGGGCGAAAGCCUGAUCCAGCAAUGCCGCGUGAGUGAUGAAGGCCUUAGGGUUGUAAAGCUCUUUUACCCGGGAUGAUAAUGACAGUACCGGGAGAAUAAGCCCCGGCUAACUCCGUGCCAGCCGCCGCCGUAAGAC
rnacentral:rRNA from 1 species